UGCUCUCAAAUGCUUUGUUACUACCUUCCAUUCAUGUGGAUGUUUGCAAAUUUCAGGAUGAUCAAAAUGAAACUCCAAGCCAGAGAAUAGGGGUGAACUUCAAUCUUUAUGCAUAUUGAGAAGGGCUUCUCCCCAUAUGGACUUUUCAAAACACUCUUCUAAGCAAAAUGAGGGAAAUAUUGCUAUAAAAGAGCAGAACCAGAAAUAACUCUUAAGAAAUUUUUGCACAAAACAUCUUAAGUGGCAACUAAUUUUGGGUGACCCAGUUCUUGAGUGCUCAACUUUAGACAUCUAAAGGCUGAUUUUUAUUGUUUUGUUUUUUUUUAAAUGCAGAACAUCCACAUUUGCAACUGAAGUCAAUAGAAGUUAGGGGUCCUCAGCACCUCUGAUAAUCAGCUCCAAGAAUUGCUGGGAUUGAACAACUCGAACGUACCAAACUUCAUCUGACUGAAAUGCUGGUGAUUCAUUUAUGUCCACUGGACUCUCUUACAGCUGAGUCAAGCCCUGUUUUGCUUAUCUGUUGCACGGCCAUGGGAGAUGAUAGCUACAAUAGAACCUCAGAGUUACGAACUUACGGGUCAACUACACACUGCGUUUGGAACCCGGAGUAUGCAAUCAAGCAGCAGCAGAGACUUCCCCCCACUAAAAAAAAAAAAG